rnacentral:rRNA from 1 species
UUGAAAGGGAAACGAUUGAAGUCAGUCAUACCAACGGGAAAUCAACCUUUUGAGCUUGGUCUCGUGGGUUUUGAAGAGUUUCAAAGCCUUCGGAUUCGCGAGAUUGGGAUCUCUCGGUGUACUUUCUCGUACGGUUAGUCAACAUCGGUUUUGAAUGUCAUAAAAUGACUGGAGGAAUGUAGCUUCGAUCUCGUAUUGAAGUGUUAUAGCCUUUGGUAGAUGUGAUGUUUGAGACCGAGGAUUGCAACGGAUACCCUUCAGGGCUAUUCGUCUGAUCUCUGAUACGUUGCCUUGAUGUUGAAAGCUUGCCUAUGAUGUUAGGGUAUUACGGUCAAAAGGUUAGAACGAAUUACAUUCGUUAAGGAUGUUGACGUA